CCUACGGGAGGCAGCAGUGGGGAAUUUUGGACAAUGGGCGAAAGCCUGAUCCAGCAAUGCCGCGUGCAGGAAGAAGGCCUUCGGGUUGUAAACUGCUUUUGUACGGAACGAAACGGUCCGCUUUAAUACAGUGGGCUAAUGACGGUACCGUAAGAAUAAGCACCGGCUAACUACGUGCCAGCAGCCGCGGUAAUACGUAGGGUGCGAGCGUUAAUCGGAAUUACUGGGCGUAAAGCGUGCGCAGGCGGUUAUAUAAGACAGUUGUGAAAUCCCCGGGCUCAACCUGGGAAUUGCAUCUGUGACUGUAUAGCUAGAGUACGGUAGAGGGGGAUGGAAUUCCGCGUGUAGCAGUGAAAUGCGUAGAUAUGCGGAGGAACACCGAUGGCGAAGGCAAUCCCCUGGACCUGUACUGACGCUCAUGCACGAAAGCGUGGGGAGCAAACAGGAUUAGAUACCCUGGUAGUCCACGCCCUAAACGAUGUCAACUGGUUGUUGGGUGCAUUAGUACUCAGUAACGAAGCUAACGCGUGAAGUUGACCGCCUGGGGAGUACGGCCGCAAGGUUGAAACUUAAAUGAAUUGACCGGNNGAGAGNGCGACGACGACGACGAGGAGGAGG
rnacentral:rRNA from 1 species